rnacentral:rRNA from 1 species
GAUGAACGCUGGCGGCGUGCUUAACACAUGCAAGUCGAACGAAGCACCUUAUUCUGAUUUCUUCGGAAUGAAAAAUUUGGUGACUGAGUGGCGGACGGGUGAGUAACGCGUGGGUAACCUGCCUCAUACAGGGGGAUAACAGUUAGAAAUGACUGCUAAUACCGCAUAAGACCACAGCACCGCAUGGUGCAGGGGUAAAAACUCCGGUGGUAUGAGAUGGACCCGCGUCUGAUUAGGUAGUUGGUGGGGUAACGGCCUACCAAGCCGACGAUCAGUAGCCGACCUGAGAGGGUGACCGGCCACAUUGGGACUGAGACGCGGCCCAAACUCCUACGGGAGGCAGCAGUGGGGAAUAUUGCACAAUGGGGGAAACCCUGAUGUAGCGACGCCGCGUGAGCGAUGAAGUAUUUCGGUAUGUAAAGCUCUAUCAGCAGGGAAGAAAAUGACGGUACCUGACUAAGAAGCACCGGCUAAAUACGUGCCAGCCGCCGCGGUAA